CCUCUCCAAUCCCCGAUCCUCUACUUGCCCACUCCUUUGCCUUGCAUCUGAGUCGGUCAGCGUGAUAUCAAAACCUGGCGGCCUGGGCCUUGCCGUCGCCGAGGAAAGCGGCGUCAGUGCGGGCGAGCAGAGGGUGCUCCUUCUCCACCCAUGGCGUGUGGUGGUCUGCGUCUAUCAUCGCAGCACGGACGUAGGCGCAAGCGUAACCUCAGGACCCAGACGUACAUACAAGUCCGCGAGAGAUGCUGCGGUCGUUGAUGGAGUAGCGUCCAGGAGGGGCCGCGCAUGGCAAGCUCCCAGCGUGUCCACGAGCUUCGUACCGGCCGGUGCCAUCGCGAUGCCGUAGCUGUCUCAAUGAUGGGAGCAGAACGAGGGAUCCAUGAGCUGUUGUUUGAGUUAGAUCGAACCGAUCGAUUUGCAACGCUCCACUAUUGCAUUCUUUUGACGGUCCCAAGGAAGACAUGGGGGGAUAUUGACGAAGAGGAAGCAACUACUGUCAUCGGUGUCCUCUACUAAAUUCCGAUCUUUGCCACCUCCCUCUUAAGGUAUUUUCUGUUUGUCUCAAGCAAAUAGGAGUUUCAUUAUUAUUUUUGAGCAAUUCAGAGUUGCUUUUUCAUAUUUGUUAGAGAAUCAGAUUGAUGAAUAUUGAGUUUAUAUCAAUUAGGGUAUCUUUUACAACCUAAUACUAUCUGAUCUGACACUAUGUUAAGCUAAUGAUUUCGUGUACUACUUAUUUCGUGAUUUUCAAGUUGCACGAUUUGGCUUUUGGAGGCAAUUCCAGAUCUGGCUUAGUGACAAGAUCAUCUUUUUCUUGAGUUAUUUAGCUAACAACAUCACAAGACACGGUCCUAAUUGUUUCCAGAUUUAUAUCGCUAAUCAAUCUUCCUUCAUUGAAAUUCUGAACAUGCCAAGGUGUUAAGCUCGUAAUGUAUUUCUUAUGGUGGAGUGACUAAUAAGUCAUAGUUCUGCAAAGUUCGACCAGGCCGCUAUGCAUGUGCAAGUAUAAAUACAUCGACUGGUGCGUAUAGAGGGUGAGUGCAAGGCACGCUGUCCCGUUUGACUGAAGCCAAUAGACUACAAGGAUUUGCAGUACUGAGAGACUCAUCCUGCACUGGUAAAAAUCACGAUGGAUUCACCCAUGAUUAUUUCUACUGUGGGUUGCUUUUAGUGGUUUGAUACGUGACCUGAAUAUGAGCUACAGUCUUCUAUGCUAUCGGUUGGUCUUAUAUUCUCAUACCUUAACAUGUCCUACUCAUUUACUUGCAGUUUCAUGAUCCAGCACAGUCUUUCUAUUUUCUUCAUAUUCUUAAGCAAUUACUCACAUUUGAAGAAUGACGGAUGAAGCAUGCCCUCUUUUUGAAAACUAUGGUGGACCAUUGGUGCUCGAGAUUAUAUUGUGCUUCGGGCCAUUGUGAGUGUCUAUCAACAUGAAUUGCUUACGUGAUACAAGAACUAGGGGAAAAAUUGCAAGUUGCGUCUCUACAUCAGAGGGCGAUUGCGCAUACAUGGUCUAGGAAUCUUUUUACUGAUCUCAUGGUUGUGAGUGAUAUUUGGUUAAACUGGCCCUAGCUAUACCACAUCAGCGGUGUAAAGUAUGUGUAUUGCUGUUCAGAGGUUGUGUAGAUAAAUCUUUACUAAUUUUUAUCAUGUAAGUUUCAAUUAUUGCAUGCCAAAUAAACAUAAGUUCAUGUUUAA